UAGGACAUUAACCAGCACUUGCUUAAAGCAAGGGGGGCUUUCCAAUCUGUGUUUAUUGCAGAGCAGGUUUUGUCCAGCUCUUCUAGGCUCCCUGAAAGUCAAUAAGACCCAGGGAGAGUAGAAUGAGCCAAACGGUGCCAACACCCAAAGCCCUACUAGGAGGAAAUCUUGUAGACAACUGCAACUGUCUGGAAGUCUAUUAAGUUGGGGUAAGAUUAAUCCUAAACUUGGAUUAUAAGGCCAGA
rnacentral:lncRNA from 10 species